GACGAACGCUGGCGGCGUGCCUAAUACAUGCAAGUCGAGCGGACUUGAUGGAGUGCUUGCACUCCUGAUGGUUAGCGGCGGACGGGUGAGUAACACGUAGGCAACCUGCCCUGAAGACUGGGAUAACUACCGGAAACGGUAGCUAAUACCGGAUAAUUUAUUUUGCUGCAUAGCGAAAUAAUGAAAGACGGAGCAAUCUGUCACUUGAGGAUGGGCCUGCGGCGCAUUAGCUAGUUGGUGGGGUAAUGGCUCACCAAGGCGACGAUGCGUAGCCGACCUGAGAGGGUGAACGGCCACACUGGGACUGAGACACGGCCCAGACUCCUACGGGAGGCAGCAGUAGGGAAUCUUCCGCAAUGGACGAAAGUCUGACGGAGCAACGCCGCGUGAGUGAUGAAGGUUUUCGGAUCGUAAAGCUCUGUUGCCAGGGAAGAACGCUCAGGAGAGUAACUGCUCCUGAGGUGACGGUACCUGAGAAGAAAGCCCCGGCUAACUACGUGCCAGCAGCCGCGGUAAGAC
rnacentral:rRNA from 1 species